AUUGAACGCUGGCGGCAGGCUUAACACAUGCAAGUCGAACGGUAACAUAAAGGAGCUUGCUUCUUUGAUGACGAGUGGCGGACGGGUGAGUAAUGCUUGGGAAUCUAGCUUAUGGAGGGGGAUAACUACGGGAAACUGUAGCUAAUACCGCGUAGAAUCGGGAGAUGAAAGUGUGGGACCUUCGGGCCACAUGCCAUAGGAUGAGCCCAAGUGGGAUUAGGUAGUUGGUGAGGUAAAGGCUCACCAAGCCGACGAUCUCUAGCUGGUCUGAGAGGAUGACCAGCCACACUGGGACUGAGACACGGCCCAGACUCCUACGGGAGGCAGCAGUGGGGAAUAUUGCGCAAUGGGGGCAACCCUGACGCAGCCAUGCCGCGUGAAUGAAGAAGGCCUUCGGGUUGUAAAGUUCUUUCGGUAGCGAGGAAGGCAUUUAGUUUAAUAGACUAGGUGA
rnacentral:rRNA from 1 species